AACGAACGCUGGCGGCGCGCUUAACACAUGCAAGUCGAACGAGAAGGCGUAGCAAUACGCUUGUACAGUGGCGAACGGGUGAGGAAUACAUGGGUAACCUACCCUCGAGUGGGGGAUAACCCGCCGAAAGGCGGGCUAAUAUCGCGUACGCUUCCGAUCUUGCGGGAUUGGAAGGAAAGCUGUCCCUUGGGGAUGGCGCUCAAGGAUGGGCUCAUGUCCUAUCAGCUUGNGGUAGGGUAACGGCCUACCAAGGCAUCGACGGGUAGCUGGUCUGAGAGGACGAUCAGCCACACUGGCACUGCGACACGGGCCAGACUCCUACGGGAGGCAGCAGUGAGGAAUAUUGCGCAAUGGGCGAAAGCCUGACGCAGCGACGCCGCGUGGGGGAUGAAGU
rnacentral:rRNA from 1 species